AACGCACCUUGCGCUCCUUGGUAUUCCGAGGAGCAUGCCUGUUUGAGUGUCAUUUAAUUCUCAACCUUAUUAGCUUUUGCUGAUAAUGGCUUGGAUGUGGGGGUUCUCUUUUGCUGGCUUCUAGGUCGGCUCCCCUGAAAUCCAUUAGCUGGUGCCCCGCGUGGACUGUCUAUUUGGUGUGAUAAUUAUCAACGCCGUGGAUGUCUGCAAUUGGUUUUGGCACUGCUUCUAACUGUCUGUUCAUUUGGACAAUACAUGACAAUUUGACCUCAAAUCAGGUAGGACUACCCGCUGAACUUAA
rnacentral:misc_RNA from 1 species